rnacentral:rRNA from 1 species
CCUACGGGUGGCUGCAGUAGGGAAUAUUGCUCAAUGGGGGAAACUCUGAAGCAGCAAAGCCGCGUGGAGGAUGAAUGUUUUCUGAGUGGAAACUCCUUUUGUUAUAGAAGAUAAUGACUGUAUCUAACGAAUAAGCACCGGAUAACUCCGUGCCAGCAGCCGCGGUAAUACGGCGGGUGCAAGCGUUAGUCGGAAUCACUGGGCGGAAAGAGGGCGUAGGGGGGAUAGCAAGUCAGAUGUGAAAUCCUAUGGCUUAACCAUAGAACUGCAUUUGAAACUGUUAUUCUAGAGUAUGGGAGAGGUAGGUGGAAUUCUUGGUGUAGGGGUAAAAUCCGUAGAGAUCAAGAGGAAUACUCAUUGCGAAGGCGACCUGCUAGAACAUAACUGACGCUGAUGCGCGAAAGCGUGGGGAGCAAACAGGAUUAGAUACCCGAGUAGUC